rnacentral:rRNA from 1 species
UGAAUACGAGACGCUACGGCGUCGAAGCAGUCUAUGUCAUACUUCCAAGAAAAGCUCGCAAUGUCAUAAACAAAUAAUGCCUGUACCAUAACCGACACAGGUGGGUAGGUAGAGUAUACUAAGGGGCGCGAGAUAACUCUCUCUAAGGAACUCGGCAAAAUGACUCCGUAACUUCGGGAGAAGGAGUGCCUUAUUUAUAAGGUUGCAAUAACAAGAUCCAAGCAACUGUUUAUCAAAAACACAGGUCUCCGCUAAGUCGUAAGACGAUGUAUGGGGGCUGACGCCUGCCCAGUGCCAGAAGGUUAAAGAAGUUGGUUAGCAUUCGCGAAGCUGAUAACUGAAGCCCUGGUGAACGGCGGCCGUAACAAUAACGGUCCUAAGGUAGCGAAAUUCCUUGUCGGGUAAGUUCCAACCCGCACGAAAGGCGUAAUGAUUUGGAUACUGUCUCGGAGAGGGGCUCGGUGAAAUAGACUUGUCUGUGAAGAUGCGGACUACCUGCACCUGGACAGAAAGACCCUAUGAAGCUUUACUGUAACUUGAAAUUGAGAUUGGACUUUAUUUGCGCAGCAUAGGUGGGAGGCGUUGAGAGUAUUCUUGCGGGAAUAUUGGAGCCAUCAGUGAGAUACCACUCUUGUAAUGUUAGAUUUCUAACUUUGGAUCAUUAUCUGGUCAAAGAACAGUUUCAGGCGGGCAGUUUGACUGGGGCGGUCGCCUCCCAAAUGGUAACGGAGGCGUACAAAGGUUUCCUCUGAACGGGUAGAAAUCGUAUCUAGAGUGUAAAGGCAUAAGGAAGCUUGACUGUGAGACCUACAAGUCGAGCAGGGACGAAAGUCGGUCUUAGUGAUCUGACGGUGCUGAGUGGAAAGGCCGUCACUCAACGGAUAAAAGUUACUCUAGGAUAACAGGCUGAUCUCCCCCAAGAGUUCACAUCGACGGGGAGGUUUGGCACCUCGAUGUCGGCUCAUCGCAUCCUGGGGCGGUAGUACGUCCCAAGGGUUGGGCUGUUCGCCCAUGAAAGCGGUACGCGAGCUGGGUUCAGAACGUCGUGAGACAGUUCGGUCCAUAUCCGGUGUAGGCGUUAGAAUAUUGAGAGGAGCCUUCUUUAGUACGAGAGGACCGAGAAGGACAUACCUCUGGUGUACCAGUUAUCGUGCCAACGGUAAACGCUGGGUAGCUAUGUAUGGAGAGGAUAACCGCUGAAAGCAUCUAAGUGGGAAGCCCACCUCAAGAUAAGUAUUCUCAUG